GCAUAUGUGACAAAUGUUGAAGGUAAUGGAUAGAGAAUUGAAUUUCCAAUAAUUUGGCAUUAGUGUGAGAUUGCCACAAUGAACAGAACAGUAGUUAUUAACGCUAAACAAAUUUUACAAACGUUGCCAUUGCAACCAGAAGUCAUGUAACCUAGAGUUGCAA